GGGACUUAACACAAAAAGACCUAGGGACUAAUUGGAAAAUACACAAAAAUAAUAAUCUUAACCUAGACUCUUCAUAAAGAAAACACCAUCAGCCGUUUUUCUACAUUGAGGGACCUUUCAUCUUCUCCAAGCAGACAAGAGCUUAGCCGCACACCCAUGGCUGCUUCUUCUUCUUCAUGAACAAGAGAGCAUGGAACCAAACACAAAACCCUAACGCCUGAAAUACACUGAAGAGAGAUCGGAUUAGCCGCAAUACACCAAGGGACUUUUCUUCUUCCUCUUGAACAAAACCAACAGAAAAUCUAGAGCUAGAAGUGAAGAAAAUGCAGCAACAGUAACAGAGAAGUUAGAGCAUUUUCCAUAUUUUCUUGAACGAAAAAGAACAUAGCUGACCUCUCUUCUUCAUCUUCUUAACAAGAAUCCCAGGAACUCACCCUCACCCAAACGAGAAGCGAAACCAGCUGUAGAAAAGACCUCGAAACAGUCACGAGACCCCACGGACACGCUCAUCUUCUCUGAUGGAGUUCGACGAGUAUUAGCCGAGUUUGUCGAUGACGGUUCCGAUCUAAGUUCAUUCGAAAAACUUCUCCGUAUUUUGGUUUAGAGUGUUUGCUGCUAGAGCGAGGCAGUCUGGUCAGAGGUUCAUUGAGGGUCUAUGGCGAGAUUAGUUCGGUCCGCGUCCUGUUCUGAUUUUGCUCCUAGAAUUUCUGCUUGGAAGUUUGUUGAGAAUUCUAUUCAAGAUUGUUUCAGGUUCGUCUCUCUGUUUAUUUUCUUAUUCCGUUUUGGUGAUUGAAUGAACACUCUUCCAAUUCAUAAUAAGACAGCAAAAUUUUGAUGAAUAUUCAGCAAAAAAUGGCAAGUUGGUAUGUCAAACACAAAGUUGUUAGAACUAGCUAGUGUGCAUGUAUCAAGUAGCAGUAGAUAUAAUAUUAGGCUUAUCUGAACUUUUAAAAUUUUCACCUAUUAUGUCUUAUUAUCCAGUCAUAAUCUAUAUAUGGAUUUGAAUGGAAUUUCCUAAAUUAGCGAUAACAGUUUAGUUCCCAAAAUGCCACGUUUAAUAGCUGACGAUAUUACUGUCUUAUUCUGAAUCGUUAGUUGGGCUGUUGAAUGGAUGCUUUCUAUGUUGGUGAUCCUAUUAAGUUCAGCUGUUUAAAGUAAAUAGACAAUUUGUUACUAUUUGAGCGAAGUUCUGUCAAUUAACGAAGACAGCAUGAUAUCUUCAUUUUUGUUGGAUUUUUCUUUAUUUAGAACUCAAUGAAUUGGAAAGUUAAAGAGAAGUGAAGGUUGUAUAAACUGUUUACAAUUUAACUCGUGCUAAAAUUAUUCAUAAAAUGUGAGUGGUGGAUCACAUUAAAAGGGAUAUUGGAUUGAUUAUAUCGGCAUGAACCAAUUUAGUUGCAUUAGCUUGGAAUUGAAAGGAAUCGAGGCGUGCCAUUUAGCGAAUUUUUAUGGCCCUCGCAAAGCUGCAAAUGCGUUAGUUGCUUUAGGCGCGUAUUUUAAUAGUAUUACCUUCCUAAACUCGGGUGUGCAUUUCAUGUGACCCAAAUCAAAUCUUAAAAUGUUGAAUAAAAUAUGUUUAGAAUUGCGGGUGCAUUUCAUAUGGUGCGAUCCAUAGAAGUGUUUUAAACGACGUUUAAUCUUCUUUAAAAUUGAAUAAAAGCGGUUAAAAGCUAAAAUGCAUAUAGGUCUAAAAGUGUUUUUAAAAUUAAAUAAUUGAGCCAAAAAUAACAGUUGAGAGACCGUGCUAGAACCACGGAACUCGGAAAUGCCUAACACCUUCUCUCGGGUUAACAAAAUUCCUUACCCGGAUUUCUGUGUUUGCGGACCGUAAAACAGAGUCAAUCCUUUCCUCAAUUCGGGAUUUGAACUGGUGACUUGGGAUACUAUAAAAUUACCCCAAGUGGAGAUUCUGAAUCUUUUAAUAAAUAAAUCCCGUUUCGAUUUCCUUUAAUUGGAAAAACUCCCUUAUACAUCUCUUUACGGGGGUGUAGGUAAAAAGGAGGUGUGAAAAGAGCUACCUUAGAUUAUACUCCUAGCAGAGUUAUUUCAUUUCUAAAGGCUCAUCGAAUGGCUGAGAAAGGGUGUGACGCGUAUCUAGCUUAUGUGAGAGAUGCUAGUGUUGAUACUCCUACCGUUGAGUCAGUUCGAGUAGUGAGGGAUUAUCCAGAUGUAUUUCAAGUGGAUCAUUCGGUAAUGCCGCCCGAUAGGGAUAUCGACUUUGGUAUUGAUUUGUUACCGGGCACUCAGCCCAUCUUUAUUUCUCCAUAUCAUAUGGCUCUACUAGAGUUGAAAGAGUUAAAGAAGCAGUCGCAGGAGUUGCUUGAUAAGGGCAUCAUUUGGUCCAGUGUGUCGCCUUGGGGUUCUUCAGUCUUGUUUGUGAAGAAGAAGGAUGGCUCUAUACGCAUGUAUAUUGAUUAUCGCCAGUUGAACAAAGUUAGAGUGAAAAUUAUGUACCCAUUACCUCGUAUUGAUGACCUAUUUGAUCAGUUACAGGGUGCCAGAGUGUUCUCCAAGAUUGACUUGUGUUCAGGCUAUCAUUAGUGGAAGAUCCAAAUAUCCCGAAGACUGCCUUCAGGACUCAGUAUGGUCACUACAAGUUCAUUGUGAUGUCAUUUGGACUGACCGACGCCCCAGCAACAUUCAUGCACUUAAUGCACAGUGUAUUCCAACCCUAUCUUAACUCAUUCAUCAUUGUGUUUAUUGACAACAUUCUAGUGUACUCCCGCAGUAGGGAGGAUUAUGAGCAUCACCUGAGGAUUGUGCUCCAGACGUUGAGAGAAAAAAAGUUAUAUGCGAAAUUUCUAAGUAUGAAUUUUGGCAAGAUUCAGUGGCAUUUUUGGGUCAUGUAGUGUCGAGUGAAGGGAUCAAGGUAGAUACGAAGAAGAUCAAAGUAGUGUAGAGGUAGCCCAGACCGUCCCCAGCUAUAGAUAUCUGGAGUUUUCUUUGUUUAGGGGGGUAUUACCGUAUAUUCGUAGAGGGUUCCUUAUAUAUUGCAGAAUCUAUGACCAGGCUGACCAAGAAGGGUGAUCCGUUCAGUUGGAUAGAGGAGUGUGAGGAGAGCUUUCAAAAUCUCAAGGCUGUUUUGACUAUAUCCCCAGUAUUGGUAUUGCCUACAGGUUCGGGGUCUUAUACUGUAUAAUGGGAUACGUCGUGUAUUACUUUCAGCGCUCUGUUGAUGCAAGAAGGUAGGGUGAUUGCCAACGUGUCUAGACAACUGAAUGUACAUGAGAAGAACUAUCCUGUCCACGAGAGUUAGUAGCUAUUGUUCAUGCCUUGAAGAUUUGGCGGCACGAUUUAUACGGUGUCCCUUGUGAGAUAUACACUGAUCACCGUCUGUUCAAAUAGAAGGAUCUUAACUUGCGUCAGCGGAGGUGGUUAGAGUUUCUUAAGUACUAUGAUAUCACCAUUAUAUAUCAUCCUGGGAAGGCCAAUGUGGUGGCCGAUGCCUUGAGCCGCAGGGCGGAGAGUUUGGGCAUUCUAGCAUAUCUACCAGCAGCAGAGAUGCCAUUGGCAUUUGAUGUUCAGGCCUUGGCCAAUCAAUUUGUUAGAUUAGAUGUUUCUAAGACGAGUCAAGUUUUGGCUUGUGUGGUUCUCAUUCUUCUCUUUUUGAUCGUAUCAGGGAGCUUCAGUAUGAUGACCCCCAUCUGCUUGUACUUAAGGACACGGUUCGACACGGUCAUGCCAAGAAGGUCACUAUUGGGGAUGAUGGUGCAUUGAGGAUGCAGGGCAGGCUAUGUGUGCCCAAUAUAGAUGGUUUGCGUAAGCUGAUCUUCAAGAGGCUUACAGAUCACAGUACUCCACUCAUACAGGUGAUGCAAAGAUGUAUCAGAGGUUGAGGUAACAUUAUUGGUGGAGAAGAAUGAAGAAGGACAUAGUGGAGUAUGUAUCUCGGUGCCUAAACUGUCAGCAGGUGAAGUAUGAUCACAACGGCCAGGUGGAUUGCUUCAAAAGCUAGAGAUUUCGGAGUGGAAAUGAGAGUGGAUCACUACGGAUUUUGUUGUUGGGCUUCCAUAGACUCAGAGGAAGUUUGAUGUAGUUUGGUGAUUGUGGAUAUAUUGACCAAGUGGGCUCAUUUCAUACCAGUGAUGACUACUUACUCUUCUGAGCAGCUAUCUUGAGUUUAUAUCUGCGAGAUUGUCAGGCUUCAUGUCUUGCUGGUAUCUAUAAUUUCUAACUGGGGUACGUCGUUUAAAUCAUGGUUCUAUAGGGCUGUACAACAUGAGUUAGAUACUCGAGUAAAGUUGAGCACAACAUUUCACCCUCAAAUGGACAGACAAUCUGAGUGCACUAUUCAGAUAUUGGAGGAUAUGCUCCGUGCAUAUGUUAUAGAGUUUAGGGGUUCUUAGGAUCAGUUAUUGCCACUUGCGGAGUUUGCCUACAACAACAGUUAUCAAUCAAGCAUUCAUAUGGCCCGUAUGAGACUUUGUAUGGUAGGGGGUGUCGGACUCCAGUGGGUUGGUUCGAGUCGAGCGAGGUUAGACUAUUGGGUUCGGACUUAGUUCAGAAUGCUUUGGAAAAGGUUAAAGUGAUUCUGGAUCGACAGUGUACAGCCCAAUCCAGACAGAAGAGUUAUGCAGAUCGGAAGGUUCUCGAUGUUGCAUUCAUGGUUGGGGAGCAGGUCUUGCUCUGAGUUUCGCCCAUGAAGGGUGUUAUGAGGUUUGGGAAAAAGGACAAGUUGAGCCCUACGAAUAUCAGGCCUUUAGAGAUUCUUGAGAGGGUUGGAGAGGUGGCUUACAGACUUGAACUACCACCUAGCCUAGCUAUAAUUCAUCUAGUAUUCCAUGUUUCUAUGCUCCGGAAGUACCAAGUCGAUCUGUCCCAUGUGUUAUAUUUUAGCUCAGUCCAGUUGGACAAGGAUUUGUCAUAUGUUGAGGAGCUAGUGGCCAUUUUAGACCGACAGGUUCGAACGUCAAGGUCGGAGGACAUUGCUUCAGUGAAGGUUCGAUGGAGGGGUCAGCCGUUCGAGGAGGCAACUUGGGAGACUGAGCAUGAUAUGCGUAGCCAUUAUCCUCAUCUUUUCACCACCUCAGGUAUAUCUCUAUGCUCGUUUGACGACGAAAGAUUGUUUUAAGAUUGGAGGAUGUAAUGACCCGGCCGAUCGUUAUAAGAUUAUUAGCCCCAAUCCCCUAUUUAUUGUCCCAUUUGUUUCAUUUUAUGCUUACGUGACUUGCCGGGUUGCUUGGUGCCGGGUUCGGGGGAGUUUCGGAGUGGAAUGGGACACAUAGUCCCUAAGUUUGAAGUUUGAGUUGUAAGAGUUGAUCGUAGUUUGACAUGUGUGAAGAAGACCCUGGAAUGGAGUUUCGUCAAUUCCAGUAGCUCCGUACGGAGAUUUUGGUCUUAGGAGCGUGUUUGGAUGUAGAUUUGGAGGUCCGCAUGUCAUUUCGGCGUUAUUUGGCGAAAGUUGGAAAUUGGAGGAUUUUUGGGAAGUUUGACCGGGAGUGUACUUUUUGAUAUCGGGGUCGAAUUCUGAUUUCAGAAGUUGGAGUAGGUCCGUAAUGUCAAAUGUGACUUGUGUGCAAAAUUUUAGGUGCGUCGGGCGUGAUUUGAUAGGUUUCAACAUCGUUUGUUGAAGUUGAAAAUUCCUUAGUUUCAAUAGGCUUGAAUUGGGGUACGCUUCAUGUUUUUGAUGUUGUUUGAUGUGAUUUGAGGGCUCUACUAAGCUCGUAUGAUAUUUAAGGACUUCUUGGUAUUUUUGGUUGAGGUCCCCGAGGCAUCGGGUGAAUUCUGGAUGGUUAACGGAUUGGAAUUUGGAAUUAAAGAAUGGAUGAGGUGCACCAGUUCUGGUGUAAUCGCACCUGCGCAAGUUUGAUCGCAGGUGCAAUCUUGAAGAAGUGAUAGGGCGAGCGCAUAGGAGGAACUAAAGGGGGUGGAUAGUGGUCGCAGGUGCGACAUGAAGGCCGUAGAAGCGGAGCCUCUCCUGAAGAAGGAUGAUCGAAGAAGCAGAGAGUGAAGGAGCUGAGGUGGCCAAGGUUUUCCGCAGAAGCAGACGAGUAGGUGCAGAAGCUUUUCAGCAUAUGCGGGUGGUGGUGCGCAGGUGCGAUAUUUGGCAGUUUAAGUGAGUUCUGCAGAUGCAGAGAUUUCACUGCAAAAGCGGUACCGCAGAAGCGGAUUGACUGGAUAGAAAAGGGGAAAGGUCGAGGGUUUGAUUUUAUUAUCCAUUUUUGGACCUUCCAACCUUGGAUUGAGACAAGAAUUUGAGAGAUUUUCAGAGGACAUAAUUGGGUAAGAAUUCUUGACUCAUUUUUGAUUAUAUAUCACUAAUCUAUCAUUAAUUUCUUCAUUUAAUUAAGGUUUUGGGUUGAGAAAUUGGGAGAAAAAUGUGUAAAGUUCUUAGACCAAAUUUUGAGGUUUUGAUCGAGAUUUUGGUAUGAUUUGAUUAAUUUUGGUAUGGGUGGACUCGUAGUUGAAUGGAUGUUUGGAUUUUGUGACUUUUACCUGAUUCCGAGACGUAGGCCUGGGUCGACUUUUUGGUGCAAUUUCUUAGUAGUUCUUGUUAACGUCAUGAAUUUAUUAUUUAGAUUAAUUUCUUAUAGGUAUAUUUAUAGUAUGUAAUUGUUUUUGGCUAGAUUUGGGUCAUUCGGGAUUGAAAAGUCGAGGGAAAGACAUUCUUAUUGACUAAUUGAGCUUGGUUUGAGGUAAGUGACUUGUCUAACAUUGUGUGGGAAAAAUCUUCUUAGGAUUUGGUACUGUUGUAAUAAUUUGUGAUAUUUGAGUGUCGUGUACGCGAGGUGGCGAGGGCGUACACGGGCUAAACAUUGAAAUUCCAGUCUUUUCUAAGUAAUUUCCUUUUUAUGCGUUAAUUGGGUUAUUCUAGCACAUGUAAUCAUCAUGUUUAGCCAAAAUUUACUUGUCUACGUGUUUCAUCUCUUUAAUUGAAAUUUGUACAACAUGCUUAGUUGAAUUACCCUUGUUCCUUGAUUCCAUAUUUGUUCUGUAACUGUAGGACUCCUUGCUUGUAGUAUCAUUAUUUCAUUUACUACGUGUUGACUUUCGUGAUUCUUGUUGUGAUGACUGUUUGGUUUGACACGAGGUUUUUUACGUGCGGAGUGUGAUUGACACAAGGUUUCUUCCAUGCGGAGUGUGAUUGGCACGAGGUUUUUUUUCAUGCGGAGUGUUGUUGGCAUGAGGUUUCUUUCGCGUAGAGUGUUAUUGGCACGAGGUUUCUUCCGUGCGGAGUAUUUUUUGCAUGAAGUUUAUUCCGUGCGGUAUAUUGUUGUCACGAGAUUUCUUUUGUGCGGAAUGUUAUGAGCAAGAGGUUUCUUGCCGUGCGGUUACUGUUUUCCUCUAUUUGCUAUGUUGGUUGUUUUUGUUCCUUAAAUUGUAAGAUAUUCAUUUCCUUAUGUGUUGUAAUUGUCUUCUUGUUUUCUAUGUUGUUUUUUCGUACAUUCUUAUUGUUUCAUUAACCUGCCAUUUAUUCUAUCAUUUCACCUUCUGCCUUUUUUUCGCCCCCAUAUCGCCACACGGGGGGAACAUGGGGACGUAAAAAAGGGGGUCCUAUCAACUUGUUCCGAUCUAGGAUAAUAAGCUCAUGAGCUUGGUCUUAUUUCACCAUCAAGAAAGGAAAGAAGACUUCUUAUUUCUCAUAUUCCAGUCGGGCCCUGACCUGACCUCGUUACUACUCUACCGAGGUUAGGCUUAGCACUUACUAGGUACCGUUGUGAUGUACUCAAACUACGCUUUUGCACAUAUUUUUUGCAGGCUUAGGUACUUAUCAGCCUCGUGCUACUGCUUGGAGACUUCAAGGUAUAUCUGCCAGCAUCCGCAAACCUCAGAGUCCCCCUCUAUCCUUAUUAUAUUGUCUUUUCUUUAUUCUCUUAGACGAUGAUGUAUAGAGAUAUUUAGUACUUCCUUAGAGCUUGUGGCUUGUAACUACCAGAUUUUAGGAGUGUCCUUCUUUGAGUUGAAAAUUUUACUUGUACAUGCCAAGGCAAUUUUUCAGUUAUAUAUUUACCUGUUGAUGUUGAGGUUUAGUCGUUAUUUCAAUUCUUUUCUGUAAUUGUUAGGCUUACAUAGUCUUAGAGACUAGGUGCCGCCACGACAUCCUACGGAGGGAAAACUUGGGUCGUGACAUAUGUGCUAGUUACUCGAAAAUUGCAAUUUAUUAGAAAUGCAAUUUCCGGC
rnacentral:lncRNA from 1 species